rnacentral:rRNA from 1 species
GACUCUCGGCAACGGAUAUAUCGGCUCUCGCAUCGAUGAAGAACGCGAAAUGCGAUACUUGCUGUGAAUUGCAGAAUCCCGUGAACCAUCGAGUCUUUGAAUGCAAGUUGCGCCCGAAGCCAUUAGGUCGAGGGCACGUCUGCCUGGGCAUCA